GGCGCACGGGUGAGUAACGCGUGGAUAAUCUGCCUUUUAGUUGGGAAUAACGUACCGAAAGGUGCGCUAAUACCGGAUAAUACUGAGUGACUACUGUUGCUUAGUCAAAGAAGGCCUCUGUUUACAAGCUUUUGCUGAAAGAUGAGUCCGCGUACCAUUAGCUAGUUGGUAGGGUAAUGGCCUACCAAGGCUACGAUGGUUAGCUGGUCUGAGAGGAUGAUCAGCCACACUGGAACUGAGACACGGUCCAGACUCCUACGGGAGGCAGCAGUGAGGAAUAUUGCGCAAUGGGGGCAACCCUGACGCAGCAACGCCGCGUGAGUGAGGAAGGUUUUCGGAUCGUAAAGCUCUGUCGAGUGGGAAGAAAUGUAUCAUGGCUAAUAUCCAUGGUAUUUGACGGUACCGCUAAAGGAAGCACCGGCUAACUCCGUGCCAGCAGCCGCGGUAAUACGGGGGGUGCAAGCGUUGUUCGGAAUUAUUGGGCGUAAAGAGCGUGUAGGCGGCUGAAUAAGUCAGAUGUGAAAUCCCUGGGCUUAACUCAGGAAGUGCAUUUGAAACUAUUCAGCUUGAGUAGGGGAGAGGAAAGUGGAAUUCCUGGUGUAGAGGUGAAAUUCGUAGAUAUCAGGAGGAACACCGGUGGCGAAGGCGACUUUCUGGCCCUAUACUGACGCUGAGACGCGAGAGCGUGGG
rnacentral:rRNA from 1 species